UAAAGGAAAGCAAAUUUUAUUGCAUUUAAUUGUUAAUUAAAAGAUAGUGUACUACUCCUUUAG
rnacentral:tRNA from 1 species